ACCGAGAAAGAUCGGAGCUUGCCGAAGAAGCUCGUUGGAACUUGCCAAGAUCAAAUCGUGAAGUCUAGGAGCUUGCCGGGAGUCCGCAGAAUGGUUUCCGAGAGUUCGUCGGAAGACCGUCGGAAGUUCGCCGGAAGCUCGCCGGAAAAAGUCUUGACUUGCGGACUUUGUAAUAGCUUAGGAAAUGUUUUUAAAUUCG
rnacentral:lncRNA from 1 species